rnacentral:ribozyme from 1 species
AUGAGUAUAUACGAAAAAUCUAGCUAGUUGCUAUUGUCCGACGAUCAAUUUUCAAGAAUCAUUAUGCACGAAAACGAAAGUAAAAAGAGGGGAGAAACAUUCGACUGACUCGCUCACUCACUAACUCACUCACUC